CCCUUAGAUGUUCUGGGCCGCACGCGUGCUACACUGAGUAAUUCAAUGGGUAAGGGAACGCUAGAGCAUUACCUAAUCUUGAAAUUUGCUCGUGAUGGGGAUCGACGGUUGCAAUUUUCCGUCGUGAACGAGGAAUACCUUGUAGGCGCAUGUCAUCAUCAUGCGCCGAAUACGUCCCUGCCCUUUGUACACACCGCCCGUCGCUCCUACCGAUUGAGUGAUCCGGUGAGGCCUUGGGAGGGCUAAGUGGGCUGUGUUUCACAGACUACCUGGCCCGAACCUGGUCAAACCUUAUCACUUAGAGGAAGGAGAAGUCGUAACA
rnacentral:rRNA from 1 species